rnacentral:rRNA from 2 species
AUUGGUGCUUGCAUCAUGAUUUACAUUUGAGUGAGUGGCGAACUGGUGAGUAACACGUGGGAAACCUGCCCAGAAGCGGGGGAUAACACCUGGAAACAGAUGCUAAUACCGCAUAACAACUUGGACCGCAUGGUCCGAGCUUGAAAGAUGGCUUCGGCUAUCACUUUUGGAUGGUCCCGCGGCGUAUUAGCUAGAUGGUGGGGUAACGGCUCACCAUGGCAAUGAUACGUAGCCGACCUGAGAGGGUAAUCGGCCACAUUGGGACUGAGACACGGCCCAAACUCCUACGGGAGGCAGCAGUAGGGAAUCUUCCACAAUGGACGAAAGUCUGAUGGAGCAACGCCGCGUGAGUGAAGAAGGGUUUCGGCUCGUAAAACUCUGUUGUUAAAGAAGAACAUAUCUGAGAGUAACUGUUCAGGUAUUGACGGUAUUUAACCAGAAAGCCACGGCUAACUACGUGCCAGCAGCCGCGGUAAUACGUAGGUGGCAAGCGUUGUCCGGAUUUAUUGGGCGUAAAGCGAGCGCAGGCGGUUUUUUAAGUCUGAUGUGAAAGCCUUCGGCUCAACCGAAGAAGUGCAUCGGAAACUGGGAAACUUGAGUGCAGAAGAGGACAGUGGAACUCCAUGUGUAGCGGUGAAAUGCGUAGAUAUAUGGAAGAACACCAGUGGCGAAGGCGGCUGUCUGGUCUGUAACUGACGCUGAGGCUCGAAAGUAUGGGUAGCAAACAGGAUUAGAUACCCUGGUAGUCCAUACCGUAAACGAUGAAUGCUAAGUGUUGGAGGGUUUCCGCCCUUCAGUGCUGCAGCUAACGCAUUAAGCAUUCCGCCUGGGGAGUACGGCCGCAAGGCUGAAACUCAAAGGAAUUGACGGGGGCCCGCACAAGCGGUGGAGCAUGUGGUUUAAUUCGAAGCUACGCGAAGAACCUUACCAGGUCUUGACAUACUAUGCAAAUCUAAGAGAUUAGACGUUCCCUUCGGGGACAUGGAUACAGGUGGUGCAUGGUUGUCGUCAGCUCGUGUCGUGAGAUGUUGGGUUAAGUCCCGCAACGAGCGCAACCCUUAUUAUCAGUUGCCAGCAUUAAGUUGGGCACUCUGGUGAGACUGCCGGUGACAAACCGGAGGAAGGUGGGGAUGACGUCAAAUCAUCAUGCCCCUUAUGACCUGGGCUACACACGUGCUACAAUGGAUGGUACAACGAGUUGCGAACUCGCGAGAGUAAGCUAAUCUCUUAAAGCCAUUCUCAGUUCGGAUUGUAGGCUGCAACUCGCCUACAUGAAGUCGGAAUCGCUAGUAAUCGCGGAUCAGCAUGCCGCGGUGAAUACGUUCCCGGGCCUUGUACACACCGCCCGUCACACCAUGAGAGUUUGUAACACCCA